rnacentral:rRNA from 1 species
AAUGGGUCAGCGACUUAUAUUCUGUAGCAAGGUUAACCGAAUAGGGGAGCCGAAGGGAAACCGAGUCUUAACUGGGCGUUAAGUUGCAGGGUAUAGACCCGAAACCCGGUGAUCUAGCCAUGGGCAGGUUGAAGGUUGGGUAACACUAACUGGAGGACCGAACCGACUAAUGUUGAAAAAUUAGCGGAUGACUUGUGGCUGGGGGUGAAAGGCCAAUCAAACCGGGAGAUAGCUGGUUCUCCCCGAAAGCUAUUUAGGUAGCGCCUCGUGAAUUCAUCUCCGGGGGUAGAGCACUGUUUCGGCAAGGGGGUCAUCCCGACUUACCAACCCGAUGCAAACUGCGAAUACCGGAGAAUGUUAUCACGGGAGACACACGGCGGGUGCUAACGUCCGUCGUGAAGAGGGAAACAACCCAGACCGCCAGCUAAGGUCCCAAAGUCAUGGUUAAGUGGGAAACGAUGUGGGAAGGCCCAGACAGCCAGGAUGUUGGCUUAGAAGCAGCCAUCAUUUAAAGAAAGCGUAAUAGCUCACUGGUCGAGUCGGCCUGCGCGGAAGAUGUAACGGGGCUAAACCAUGCACCGAAGCUGCGGCAGCGACACUAUGUGUUGUUGGGUAGGGGAGCGUUCUGUAAGC